GCAUAACAUAUAUAUAGGACAUCCUGUGUAUAUCAAAGGAUUUAUUCGCUGAAAGAUGGGCUCGCGUCCGAUUAGAUAGUUGGUGAGGUAAUGGCUCACCAAGUCGACGAUCGGUAGCCGGACUGAGAGGUUGAACGGCCACAUUGGGACUGAGACACGGCCCAGACUCCUACGGGAGGCAGCAGUGGGGGAUAUUGCACAAUGGGCGAAAGCCUGAUGCAGCAACGCCGCGUGAGGGAAGAAGGUUUUCGGAUUGUAAACCUCUGUUUUUGGUGAAGAAAAAAAUGACGGUAGCCGAAGAGGAAGCCACGGCUAACUACGUGCCAGCAGCCGCGGUAAUACGUAGGUGGCAAGCGUUGUCCGGAAUUACUGGGUGUAAAGGGUGCGCAGGCGGGACAGUAAGUUGGAUGUGAAAUGCCGGGGCUCAACCCCGGACCUGCAUCCAAAACUGCAGUUCUUGAGUGAAGUAGAGGUAGGCGGAAUUCCGAGUGUAGCGGUGAAAUGCGUAGAUAUUCGGAGGAACACCAGUGGCGAAGGCGGCCUACUGGGCUUUAACUGACGCUGAGGCACGAAAGCAUGGGGAGCAAACAGGAUUAGAUACCCUGGUAGUCCAUGCCGUAAACGAUGAUUGCUAGGUGUGGGGGGACUGACCCCUUCCGUGCCGGAGUUAACACAAUAAGCAAUCCACCUGGGGAGUACGACCGCAAGGUUGAAACUCAAAGGAAUUGACGGGGGCCCGCACAAGCAGUGGAGUAUGUGGUUUAAUUCGAAGCAACGCGAAGAACCUUACCAGGUCUUGACAUCCUCUUGCAAGCGUCCUAGCCGACGCCCUCC
rnacentral:rRNA from 1 species